GGGUUGUGAGGUUAAGCGACUAAGCGUACACGGUGGAUGCCCGGCAGUCAGAGGCGAUGAAGGACGUGCUAAUCUGCGAUAAGCGUCGGUGAGGUGAUAUGAACCGUUAUAACCGGCGAUUUCCGAAUGGGGAAACCCAGUGUGAUUCGUCACACUAUCAUUAACUGAAUCCAUAGGUUAAUGAGGCGAACCGGGGGAACUGAAACAUCUAAGUACCCCGAGGAAAAAGAAAUCAACUGAGAUUCCCCAGUAGCGGCGAGCGAACGGGGAGGAGCCCAGAGCCUGAAUCAGUGUGUGUGUUAGUGGGAAGCGUCUGGAAAGGCGUGCGAUACAGGUGACAGCCCCGUACACAAAAAAAAAUGCACAUGUGUGAGCUCGAUGAGUAGGGCGGGACACGUGGUAUCCUGUCUGAAUAUGGGGGACCAUCCUCCCAAGGCUAAAUACUCCUGACUGACCGAUAGUGAACCAGUACCGUGAGGGGAAAGGCGAAAAGAACCCCGGCGAGGGGAGUGAAAAGAACCUGAAACCGUGUACGUACAAGCAGUGGGAGCCUCUUAAUGGGGUGACUGCGUACCUUUUGUAUAAUGGGUCAGCGACUUAUAUUCUGUAGCAAGGUUAACCGAAUAGGGGAGCCGAAGGGAAACCGAGUCUUAACUGGGCGUUAAGUUGCAGGGUAUAGACCCGAAACCCGGUGAUCUAGCCAUGGGCAGGUUGAAGGUUGGGUAACACUAACUGGAGGACCGAACCGACUAAUGUUGAAAAAAAUUAGCGGAUGACUUGUGGCUGGGGUGAAAGGCCAAUCAAACCGGGAGAUAGCUGGUUCUCCCCGAAAGCUAUUUAGGUAGCGCCUCGUGAAUUCAUCUCGGGGUAGAGCACUGUUUCGGCAAGGGGUCAUCCCGACUUACCAACCCGAUGCAAACUGCGAAUACCGGAGAAUGUUAUCACGGGAGACACACGGCGGGUGCUAACGUCCGUCGUGAAGAGGGAAACAACCCAGACCGCCAGCUAAGGUCCCAAAGUCAUGGUUAAGUGGGAAACGAUGUGGGAAGGCCCAGACAGCCGGGGAUGUUGGCUUAGAAGCAGCCAUCAUUUAAAGAAAGCGUAAUAGCUCACUGGUCGAGUCGGCCUGCGCGGAAGAUGUAACGGGGCUAAACCAUGCACCGAAGCUGCGGCAGCGACACUAUGUGUUGUUGGGUAGGGGAGCGUUCUGUAAGCCUGUGAAGGUGGCCUGUGAGGGUUGCUGGAGGUAUCAGAAGUGCGAAUGCUGACAUAAGUAACGAUAAAGCGGGUGAAAAGCCCGCUCGCCGGAAGACCAAGGGUUCCUGUCCAACGUUAAUCGGGGCAGGGGUGGAGUCGACCCCUAAGGCGAGGCCGAAAGGCGUAGUCGAUGGGAAACAGGUUAAUAUUCCUGUAUUUGGUGUUACCGCGAAGGGGGGACGGAGAAGGCUAUGUUGGCCGGGCGACGGUUGUCCCGGUUUAAGCGUGUAGGCUGGUUUUCCAGGCAAAUCCGGAAAAUCAAGGCUGAGGCGUGAUGACGAGGCACUACGGUGCUGAAGCGACAAAUGCCCCUGUUUCCGGGAAAAGCCCUCUAAGCAUCAGGUAACAUCAAAUCGUACCCCAAACCGACACAGGUGGUCAGGGUAGAGAAUACCAAGGCGCUUGAGAGAGAACUCGGGUGAAGGAACUAGGCAAAAUGGUGCCGUAACUUCGGGAGAAGGCACGCUGAUAUGUAGGUGAAGCGACUUGCUCGUGGAGCUGAAAUCAGUCGAAGAUACCAGCUGGCUGCAACUGUUUAUUAUUAAAAACACAGCACUGUGCAAACACGAAAGUGGACGUAUACGGUGUGACGCCUGCCCGGUGCCGGAAGGUUAAUUGAUGGGGUUAGCGGUAACGCGAAGCUCUUGAUCGAAGCCCCGGUAAACGGCGGCCGUAACUAUAACGGUCCUAAGGUAGCGAAAUUCCUUGUCGGGUAAGUUCCGACCUGCACGAAUGGCGUAAUGAUGGCCAGGCUGUCUCCACCCGAGACUCAGUGAAAUUGAACUCGCUGUGAAGAUGCAGUGUACCCGCGGCAAGACGGAAAGACCCCGUGAACCUUUACUAUAGCUUGACACUGAACAUUGAGCCUUGAUGUGUAGGAUAGGUGGGAGGCUUUGAAGUGUGGGACGCCAGUCUGCAUGGAGCCGACCUUGAAAUACCACCCUUUAAUGUUUGAUGUUCUAACGUGGGCCCCUUUACCGGGGUUGCGGACAGUGUCUGGUGGGUAGUUUGACUGGGGCGGUCUCCUCCUAAAGAGUAACGGAGGAGCACGAAGGUUGGCUAAUCCUGGUCGGACAUCAGGAGGUUAGUGCAAUGGCAUAAGCCAGCUUGACUGCGAGCGUGACGGCGCGAGCAGGUGCGAAAGCAGGUCAUAGUGAUCCGGUGGUUCUGAAUGGAAGGGCCAUCGCUCAACGGAUAAAAGGUACUCCGGGGAUAACAGGCUGAUACCGCCCAAGAGUUCAUAUCGACGGCGGUGUUUGGCACCUCGAUGUCGGCUCAUCACAUCCUGGGGCUGAAGUAGGUCCCAAGGGUAUGGCUGUUCGCCAUUUAAAGUGGUACGCGAGCUGGGUUUAGAACGUCGUGAGACAGUUCGGUCCCUAUCUGCCGUGGGCGCUGGAGAACUGAGGGGGGCUGCUCCUAGUACGAGAGGACCGGAGUGGACGCAUCACUGGUGUUCGGGUUGUCAUGCCAAUGGCACUGCCCGGUAGCUAAAUGCGGAAGAGAUAAGUGCUGAAAGCAUCUAAGCACGAAACUUGCCCCGAGAUGAGUUCUCCCUGACUCCUUGAGAGUCCUGAAGGAACGUUGAAGACGACGACGUUGAUAGGCCGGGUGUGUAAGCGCAGCGAUGCGUUGAGCUAACCGGUACUAAUGAACCGUGAGGGGCUUAACCUUACAACGCCGAAG
rnacentral:rRNA from 1 species